UACAGAGGUGGCAAGCGUUGUUCGGAAUUACUGGGCGUAAAGGGCGCGUAGGCGGCCAUCUAAGUCAGACGUGAAAUCCCCCGGCUUAACCUGGGAACUGCGUCUGAUACUGGAAGGCUCGAGUUUGGGAGAGGGAUGCAGAAUUCCAGGUGUAGCGGUGAAAUGCGUAGAUAUCUGGAGGAAUACCGGUGGCGAAGGCGGCAUCCUGGACCGACAUUGACGCUGAUGAGCGAAAGCCAGGGGAGCAAACGGG
rnacentral:rRNA from 1 species